rnacentral:rRNA from 1 species
GACGAACGCUGGCGGCAGGCCUAACACAUGCAAGUCGAGCGAGCGGCGGACGGGCGAGUAAUGUAUGGGGAUCUGCCUGAUCUAGGGGGAUAACUACUGGAAACGGUGGCUAAUACCGCUUACUACCGUUUGAACCCUUAUGGGAUUAUGUAGCAGGUGGGGUAAAGGCUCACCUAGGCGACGAUCUCUAGCUGGUCUGAGAGGAUGAGCAGCCACACUGGGACUGAGACACGGCCCAGACUCCUACGGGAGGCAGCAGUGGGGAAUAUUGCGCAAUGGGCGCAAGCCUGAUGCAGCCAUGCCGCGUGUAUGAAGAAGGCCUUAGGGUUGUAAAGUACUUUCAGCGGGGAGGCGUUACCCGCAGAAGAAGCACCGGCUAACUCCGUGCCAGCAGCCGCGGUAAUUC